UGAAUAUAAUAUUCCUUUUUGCCCUCUUUCCUAUUUCCAUUAUAUGGUAUCAGAGCCAUUAUGACGUCUCCAAACUCCAGCUCAGAAAAUCAAGCUCCGACCACUGAAUCCGAUCAAUACUGCUGAACCCACUCCAAAUUUCUCAUUAUCUCAACCUUCCCAACCUAUAAAUCUUGCAAAUCAACUAGCCAUUGUGCGCCUGGAUGAUGGAAAUUUUCUGAUAUGGAGACACACACAUUUUUGCUGGUAUUCGCAGUUUUGGGUUGGAAGGAUUUUUUGAUGGUUCUGCUAUCCAUCCACCAGAACUCACUCCAACCAUAAGUGGUAGACUAGGGUCCGUCAACCUUGACUAUGUUUUCUGGCAUCGUCAAGACCAAUUGAUAUUUUCUUGGUUAUUGGCGUUAAUGACAGAGAGUAUUCAAGCCCAAAUGGUGGGAUCAAACACUGCCAGUGAUAUUCGAAAAAUUGUUGAACGUCUAUUUGCAUCUAGAUCUAAGGCAAAGGUGAUGCAACAUAAACUUCAACUCCAGAUCCAAAAGAAAGGAGAGCGAGAAGACCUUUUGAAGAUGAAAACAUAUGCUGAUGUUCUUACUUUUACUGGACAAAAGAUUUCAGAGGAGCACCAAAUACUCUAUGUCCUAGCUAGGUUGGGAAUUGAGUAUGAAUAUGUUAUUGUCUCUGUUACAUCACGUGUUGAGCCCUACUCCUUACAAGAUGUAACUGAACUUCUUCUCGCACAUGAAAAUUGGAUUGAACAGUAUUCCGCAAAUGGAGAUGGGUCACAACCUACUGUGAAUUUGGCACUUCAAGAUCAGUCAAAGAAAAAUGGGGGCAUCAGUCAAAAAUUCCCUCACGGGAGAAAUCCGAACUUACGCGUCAGAGGUCGUGGUGGCCGUGGUGGAUUCAGGACAUAGAAUGGCAACAAUAGGCCUUAAUGUCAACUUUGUGGUAGAUUUGGUCACAUGGCACAGAAAUGCUACCAUCAUUUUGACCCCUCAUUCUCUGGUUUCAAUGGUGCUGGGAAUACUAACACUCUUUCGAGUAAUCAAAGUGGAGAUGAGUCUACUCAAAUGGCCACAAUGAUGGUAGCCCCUGAGUUACUUACUGAGAGUGGAUGGUUUCAAGAAUGGGGGGCAACAAAUCACGUGACCAAUUAUCUAAACAACCUGCAUAUUGGCAAUGAAUAUCUGGGAAGCAACAAAAUUGUAAUGGGUAAUGGUAAAGGUCUCUCAAUAUCUCAUGUUGGCUCUUCCUUUUUUAACUCUCCUAAUUCGUCUCGUGUUUAUACUCUGUCCAACUUAUUGGAUGUUCCACAAAUUACAAAGAACUUGCAUAGUGUCAACCAAUUUGCUCGUGACAAUCACAUUUAUUUUGAAUUUCACCUGAGUUUAUGUUUUGUGAAAGACCAGGCCACGGGAAUGGAGCUACUCCGAGGGAGACUACAUAAUGGGCUGCAUCAAUUUAAUCUGUUUAAGAUAUCUCCUGCAUCAUCUCAAUUUUCAUCCUCAAGUUCUUCUAUUCAAAGUCAGUCGAGUCGCCCUACUGCCUUUUCUUUACAGUCAAUAAGUGCUAGUUUGAGUCCGGUGUCUUCAAGUCUAGUUAAGUCUAAAGUUAGAAUCAAUCAAAUUAUAGACCUCUAGCAUAUGAAGCUUGGUCAUCCCGCUGCUCCAAUUGUCAGGAUGGUUCUAUCUUCUUGUAAUAUUCCUAUUCAACUGAAUGAAGAUUCAUCAUUUUGUUCUGCUUAUCAAUUGGGGAAAAGCAAAAAGUUACCAUUUUCUCAUUCUGAGGUGGUUUAUCAUGAGCCGUUACAUUUGAUAUAUUCAGAUCUAUGGGGUCCAGCAUUCACACUUUCCACUAAUGGUAAUCGCUAUUAUGUGAGUUUUGUGGAUGCUUACUCUAGAUUUACUUGGAUAUUUUUCAUUAAAAGCAAGUUUGAAGUAUAUCCAGCCUUUCUUCGAUUCAAGGCUCAAAUUGAAUUAUUAUUAGACAAAAAGAUCAAAAUUCUACAAAUAGAUUGGGAAGGGGGGGUGAAUUUCAGUCCCUUACACCGUACUUGAGUUCAGCUGGGAUAACUCAUGGACAUUCUUGUCCUCAUACAUCUGAACAAAAUGGAGUCAUUGAACGUAAGCAUAGACACAUUGUUGAGUGUGGUCUUACCCUUUUAGCUCAAGCCUCGUCACCUCUCAAAUUUUGGGAUGAUGCUUUCUCAAGUGCCGUAUACCGAUGCUUUCUCAAGUGCCGUAUACCUUAUCAACAGAUUACCUACUACAGUCUUGAGUGGUCAGUCUCCUUUGGAAAGGCUGUUGCAUACCAAACCCGAUUCUUCAUUUUUACGUGUGUUUGGCUGCAUGUGUUUCCCUUGCCUUCGGCCCUAUAACAAACACAAGUUAAACUUUCGAUCAACACCUUGUACAUUUAUUGGUUACAAUCUUAACCACAAAGGAUAUAAGUUCUUAGCACCUGAUGGAAGAAUUUUCAUAUCUCGUCAUAUAGUGUUUGAUGAGAAAACUUUUCCAUAUGCUUCACAAAAGUCUUCUACAAUCUCCAGUGUCAGUCAUCCUCCUUCAGUCCUUUCUCCACCUAUGCAAUCAACUCAUCUUGGACAAUCAUAUACUACGUCUUUGCUAAGGACUGAUCACAACCAUGAUUCCUUACAACAAAACUCUCUAGCAUCUCAUUCUCCAACACGCAAUAUUCCCUCCUUGUUCCCUAGUGAAUGAACCACAGCAACCACCGAGCUUAGAUCAUUACCUAUUGGUCUGCCUUCCGCGUCAGAAUCAUCAUGUCUCCAACACCUAUCAAUACUCAUCACAUGGUCACUCGAUCCAAGGUUGGAAUUUUUAAACCUAAAGUUCUUCUCACUACUGACCUACAAAAUAGUGAGCCAAACUCUUUCAAAGAAGCCCUCAAAUGUCCUCAGUGGAAUAUGGCAAUGCAUGAGGAAUAUGCUGCAUUGAUUAACAAUAGCACUUGGAACUUAGUCUCUUUGCCCUCAGAUAAAAAGUUGAUUGGCUGCAAAUGGGUUUUUAAACUCAAGAGAAAUCCUAAUGGUUCUAUCUCUCGAUAUAAAGCGCGACUGGUUGCAAAAGGUUACCAUCAAGUUCCUGGCUUUGAUUAUACAGAUACUUUUAGUCCUGUGGUGAAACCAGUAACCAUAUGUGUGGUUCUCUCCAUUGCUAUUUCUCGUGGAUGGCAGGUACGACAACUUGAUAUAAAUAAUGCAUUUCUCAAUGGCAUAUUGCAUGAAGAUAUAUACAUGGCUCAG
rnacentral:lncRNA from 1 species